CCUACGGGGGGCAGCAGUGAGGAAUAUUGGUCAAUGGACGAGAGUCUGAACCAGCCAAGUAGCGUGAAGGAUGACUGCCCUAUGGGUUGUAAACUUCUUUUAUAUGGGAAUAAAACGUUCCACGUGUGGGAUUUUGUAUGUACCAUAUGAAUAAGGAUCGGCUAACUCCGUGCCAGCAGCCGCGGUAAUACGGAGGAUCCGAGCGUUAUCCGGAUUUAUUGGGUUUAAAGGGAGCGUAGGUGGAUUGUUAAGUCAGUUGUGAAAGUUUGCGGCUCAACCGUAAAAGUGCAGUUGAAACUGGCAGUCUUGAGUAGAGUAGAGGUGGGCGGAAUGCGUGGUGUAGCGGUGAAAUGCUUAGAUAUCACGAAGAACUCCGAUUGCGAAGGCAGUUCACUGGACUGCAACUGACACUGAGGCUCGAAAGUGUGGGUAUCAAACAGGAUUAGAUACCCCUGUAGUC
rnacentral:rRNA from 1 species